AUUGUCUCACCCCAAUCCCAUUGUGAUUGUGUCUUGUCUUCCACUGAUUUUGUUUUCCAUGUUUGUCUGGUUUUUGUCUUUGUCUCGGUCUGCCUUGUCUUGUCCGUCUACCCCUUGGUGAGCACCUGGAGGUGCUCAUUAAAGGGGGGGCUUCUGUCAUGGCUCUGCUUCCUUAGUCAUGUUUUUCUUGGUCCUGUAGCAGAGCCUGUGGAGAGAAACAUAUUAUUGUCCAUUUGACAAUAAUAUACAUUCUCUCCAGUGUCUUGUCAUUGACCCCAUUCCUCUCGUUUCCUCGUUAUCUUUCCCUGAGUGUUUAAUGUCCCACACCUGCCCCAUGUCGUUAUCCCUCGUUUGUCUUCCCUAUAUAUACCCUCUUGUUUCUUUGUCCUGUGCUCUUGUAUUGCGUGAACUGCGUUGUGUUGGAUGGUGUUGUGUUCAUGUUCGUGCGUUUACCCGUGUUCCUGAUCAUGUUUUGUGCCUGAUAUUAUUUAAGACGUUUGGUUGUGUCCUUGAGUUUAGUUAUUUGUCUUGUUUUCAUUUUGCCCCCUCGUGGGAAGUCUUUUGUUUUACAUUUAUUCCUUAGUUCUGUUUUCCCCCAUUGUGGGUGUUUUUUGUUCUGUUUUCUUGUUAAAUAAAUAUAUCUGUUAACCCCUUCACUGCCGUUGCCUGCAUUUGGGUUCUUCCACGCCCUGAUCGUGACAAAAAAACUCUAAAACAGCAACAGUAAAAUACUUUUUAAAGCUAAAUAGUAUAUCACCGUAUUGCAUACAUUAAAUUACCAUAAUUUAAGAAACAGUACAUACAUUUUAUUUUUACUCUCUUAAUAUGUAAAAAACACAGAUUCUUACAGUAAAAUUUUAAAUUUUUGGUGAAAUUAAUGGGAAAAUACUGAGCCUUUACAAACAAGGAAUUACCUUAAAAACAAUGGUAUUAUUCUGUGUAAAUUACACAUUUUCUUAAUGUGUACUGUAGAAUAUACAAUAUAAAACUGUUUAAAAUCCAACAAACACAUGUUUAACAUCUUGUUACUGUAGGAUUUAAGGUAUAUGUUUAUCUUUUUGUCAAUUUUAGUUAAAACUUUAAAUACUCUGUAAUUUACUGUACUUUUGUGUAUUGUUCUUUUAUGGAUCUAAUCUGAUAGUUAAUGCUAAUUGCAAUGAAAACAAAACGAAUGUAUUUAAGAAAGUCAAGAAAUAAUUUUAUCAUAGCUUUUCUAAAAAGAGAUUUUCCACAUUAUUUCAUAAUUACCACAACUAGACUAUGAAUAGGAUGAACAAAGCAAAAAUGUUCAAACAUAGGGAAAAAACUUGACCAUUUUAAAACAAUUAUGAAACUGUGUUUUUAUUAGUGGUGCUUGCGAAAUGGCAUUUGAAAUAAUAAUAAAAAGCCUGAACAAACGAAGAAACACACAAGAGGAAGAAGAUCGUCUCCCCGCUUCUAAGAUUAGGCCUGUGAAUUGCGCAGCGCGACCUGCAUGCAGCAAGUGGUGAGUACUCCUUUGGCUACUUUUCCACGGGGUAACUUGCAAAUUGCAAAGCUAAGGUAACAGAUUAUAGUGCACUGCUAACGCAAAGUGUAAUUCUGAUGCCUUGUCAACUUGCAUUUAAGCUUGCGUUUUCAAAUGACUUAAAUUAAGGUUACGUGGUAACUCACUAAUGAAAAAUGUGCUUGGAAACUCAUACACUGCUAAUGCGAAGUGUACUUUUGACGUCUUUUAAUCUUCUUUUAAUCCAUUUCUUGGCUUACUUUUAAAAAUGCUUAAGAGAGCACGACAAUUCAUUAAUAACGUUAACGGUCGAUGUCGUUUUAUAUUUCAGUCAGCGCCAUCUUAGCGCGCCAAGCAGCUGCUUUUGGAAUACCAUCCUCGUCCAUCCUUUUGAUUUCUGGGGGUUCAACAUUUCUUUUCGAGGUAAGCCAAACAAUACUGUUACAAACUAAAAAGUUAAAGUUAUUUAUUUUCCUUUCGUUGUUGUUAUUUAACCAGUUUUGGCUAUGUUUAGUUGCAAUUUCUGUGGCAAGUCGGUCAAAUCAUUGAGGGGGUAUGUACUUCAUUGUAAACUUCAUCGACUUCAUGUGACAUCAAAGAGUGGUGAGAUUUUUUUAAUUACUUUUAAAGACAUAUUUUUGCCGUAUAUGCUUUGUUGAACGUUUUGUUGAAUUUGGUCUUAUUCAGGAACAAAUGUAUUUUCUUUUAUCUCCUUUUCUUAUGUUACAAGAGGCUGUGUGCGACAGGGACCUCAUCAAUCUCUUUUUCUUCUGGAAAAUUCACGGGAUUGGCAAGUUUCUGAGCUUUAAGGAUCAUGUCAACACCUGAUCAUUGUAACCUGUCUGCAAGAGACUCUGUCCCACCUCUCUUCAGUCAAGUCUGGACCCAGUAAUUCAGACACCUCAAGGAUAAUUAAUGAAAGAUGAAGAAAAUGGCAGUCCAUGAAGUACUACAUUUCCAGUUUCUCGAACUGAUUUAGUGCCAUGUCUUCAGUCAGGUGUGGACUUAUUAUUAUUGUUCAAACAGAGCAAGUGGCCCUGGUUUACUUUUAUAUAUGGACACAUUUUAUUUCCAAGCUCAACAUUGUGAGUACACUGCAAGUUAUUGAAUCAGCUCAAACUGUUUUAACACAGUGUCAGUAUGCAAAAACGGGUUUUUUUUUGCAUACUGUUAAUGAUCUGUUAAUGAUAAUUUGUGUGUUGAUUGACUGCAUUUAUUACCUCAUUUAGUAAUUCACAAUAACCUGACUGACUGUUGUAAAAUCUAUGGCAACCACUUGUAAUGCCUUUUGUGUUAUACCGUAUUUUUUGCGAUGAAAUUCUGGCAACCACAGCUGCCGGUAAUUUUCUGUAAAAUUGAAGUUUACAAUAAAAUACUAUAAUAUUUCAUACGGUUGAAUUGUGUUUAUUACGGAGAUAGACUGUAAUUACUAUUAAAGAAAUUUACACUUGCAAAUGCUAUUUUUAAAGUAAAUUACUGUAAACAGGUUUACAUUACAUCUGUUUUAUUUAACAGUAGUGUACCGUAAACAAGCAGCAAUUCGCUACUGUAAAAUUUACGGUUGCAAAAAAACAUUCUGUAAAGUGUUCCACAUUGUAACCUUAUAUUUUACGGUGAACUUAUGGCAACCACAGCUGCCGGUAUUUUACUGUAUAUUACACAUGUUUUUUUUUACAGUGUAGAAAAACGAUUUUAACAAUGUGCCUGUUUGGUCGUUAGGACAUGCUCAUCACGUCCCAGCAACAUUAUUUGGUACGUCGCUGAGAUGAAUAUAGUACAUUCCAGGUAAGUCUUCAGGAGGUAAUCACCACGUCCCAGCAACGUCCAAAGUUACAUCGCUGGAAUGUUAUUUGGUACAUCGCUGCCACGAACACGGUCCGGUCCAGAUAUGUCGUCACAUCGUAACUGUGUUAACUGGGGUAGCAGACUGAAAAGUUAGUGUCUUUCUGCAGUCCAACAGACAGCAGUGUACUGGGGCCGGUUGCACCAGCUGUACAACUUAGCCUAGUUUUGACUUCAACGGGCACUAAGUUACAAUUUAUGCACUACUAAAUAUUUUUGAGUUGCACCAUUCAACUUAGUUGAAGCGUAAUGUUACGUACAAACUAAAUAUUUACGGAAGCCUCCUAUCAGGAGUAACUGUAGGAAUAAAAUAGCAGACUCACUGUACUAAUGGAAUAAGCUCUUGUUUCACUCGACAUUUUUCAAUGAUUUACACACGAUAUAAUGCUGACAUUUACAGUCACUUACCUUUUAAAAUAGAGAACAUUAUGUGAUGACAUUUAAUUUUUGAUGGCUCUAACAAGAACCGUCCUAGCGUGCCUGUCAUUUAUUAUUGCAUUAAGUAGGCUGUAUUGUUAAAAUGUUUUUUUACCGUUAUUAUGUGAGGUAAAAUAAGUUUAAAUCAAGAAAGUUUUGAAAUUCACAAUAUUUCAACACAACUUUUUCUCAGGAAUUGAAAGGCUGCUAUUGGACUGUUGAAGGUAAACGUCAUAUUAUGCGACUACGCAUUACUUUACGGAGAGCUUAUGAACUACUAGCUACGUUCUGCCUCAAGACCAAAUGGUGCAACUGAAUAACAUACAGAUUUAGUUACAAACUAGCUAGUAGUUACUAAGCCUCUAGUGUGGACUUUACGUUCACGUUUAAGAAAGAACUUGCGAAUGGCUGGUGCAACCCUACCCAGGUAACUAGAGUCUGUUGACUGGUGAAUCAACACUAAGUUGUCACCUAGUUAGUGGGACGCAAUGCUAUAAACAAUGUCCCCGUCUUUUACUCUCACAAUGAGCUCAUCAUAUUCGCAUGCUACAUUAGUAGGGCCCUAUAAUUUCCAUGGAAUCUGUCACAUUUUUAUGAAUAUAUAAAACCACACUCAUUUGGACCAUAAAGUACUGUAAUACACACUGCAAACAGAGUAAGUUAUAGCCUAUGUGUAACAAGUGUAAAUCAAUUACACAUCUAUUCACCAAGCUCUAUGGGUCUUCAACCGGGGAUCCACGACCCCUAAGGAGUCCGCUGUGGAACUGUAGGGGGUCCGCUGAUUAAUGUUUACUCACAGAGUACUUUUUACACCAGCAGCUGGGCUUUUUCCCGCAUGCUCAGCGCAAGCGCUCUGCUCUCCAUUUUUUCCACACUCAGCAUACCUAUGCUUGAUGAAGCAGCACAGAAUAGGCGCCCGCAGAUCUCCGCAGAAAAUUUCUGUGGAUUUUAGCGCUUUCUAUUGACAAGUAGACACACACAACAUGAGCGUGUUACUAGAAUGCUGAGCAUGCAGGAAAAAGCCCAGCUGUUAACUGUGACAGAUUUUAAUGAGCCUGACGAUGUGAUAUUUGAGAUGUUUAAAACGAAACUAACCGCCGAAGACGUUCAGUGAACGUAUCUGUUAUAAGACACCGCUGGAUCAUUUCAAAUCCGUUCACAAUAAGAAUGAACGACAGGCGAAAUCUCUUGUAAGUUUUAUUUGAAGUUAUCUUCACGUUGUGUUUUGUGAACAUGCGGAAAAGUGUCAUUAUAUACUUUUUCUUACAGUACAAUAUAUAAAUAUGGUCUUGACAUGGACCUUUUCUGUUGGUUCAAAUGAAUUCAGAGUAAUUUGGUCAGGUGUAUUCAGAGUUUAAACAGUCUUGGCAUUAAUCAAUAACAACUUUUUAAAUAAGCAGAACUAAAUCUGAUUUUAAAUUUAAAUGCAUAGACAGGCAGCAUUUUAAGACUAUUUGAACACAUUUACACAUAUUUAUAUGUGUGUACAAAUGUAAACACAUUUAAAACUAUUCUAUGGAAUUCUGCAGGUUUUUUCCCAAAUUUUAAACUGAAAUUAACAAAAAAAGUCUGCAGAUUUCGUAUGGCCCUACUUAUGAGGGAAAACAAAUUGGAAAAAAAAGUUUUUUUUGUGAGCAAAACCUAUGAGGGAAGAUUUACGCACAUCAGGAUAACUAAAAGUAUGUGAUUUAAAGAUUUAAAUUCAUGUAAUGCGGCUCUUAAAAAAAUAAUUUGGCGCCUGCUUUUUCCCCCUACAGGAGCCAAUGGCUCCUUAAUGGUGGAGUGGUUGAUUUGGAAGGUGCUAACUUUAGCCUGCUAGCCCUGAAAUUAUAAUCCCACCCUCUAUGCGAUUCGCCAUCCAAACCCACGCCUCCUCCAAACACAUGAAUGUAUUUAGUAAAUCCACGUAACGAAUUACAAACUAAAUCCAUUAAAUUCUUCUAGAAGCAUGUACAUACCUGUCCAAAAGAAAGAGAGCAACCAUGGUAUCGUCUUUCAGACCCUUUGCCUGCCAGGCAGUCUCCAUCGUGUAAAAGCUGAACUGAUGUUAAUUUGAGUUUUUCCUCUUUCAUGAUCCAGACGUUUUUUCGUCACUGCUUUUUCAAAAACUGACUUUCGUUUUGUAGAUUUACUUGUUGUCGGUUCCGCAGGAAAGUUUGAUUGUUGCUGAUUGUCUGCCAUUCUCCCUACAUUGACACAGCGGACGUGAGCGCGCUGCGGCGCUGAUGACGUAUGGUCUGCGUGAACAGGGUGCGCAGUGGUAUGCAAAAUACAUUGGCUGAAAAUGUACACAUGAGCAGUCACAGCGUUCGGCCAGAACGUUUUGAUUGGGCGAACGUUUUUUGGUUCUACUCCUUUCACAGACGAAAUAUAAUUAUAAAAAUAUUAUUUGACCACUAUAAUUGUUGAUUGCUAUCAGGAUGUAAAGAGAUUUCCAACCAACAUGACAAAAAAUGUUUCUGGAAAGGAUCACCCACCACGCCUUUAAAUGAUUUUUUUUGUCUGGAGCCCUCACAUGGGUACAAAACUGUUAUAACCUGUUCACUUUAAGCUGAGCACCUGCAUCUAGACAAAAACUUCCCUUCAGGCAGCAGAAGCGAUAGAAGAAACGUUACAUCUGCAUCAUAAUAAAACAGGUAGGGCCUUAAUCCUUUAAAUUUAGAAUCCGUGUAUUCUCUCCCUUCCAAUGAGUGUAGAGUGAGCAUGAAAGGAGUUGCGUGCAAACAAAGUGCAUUGUCAUUCGUUUCUCAACUUGGAAGGCUAUUUAAUACCGUUUUAACUUGUUAAAGCUGUAAAGCGCUAAUUUGACAGGCAAAUGACACCAUACCGCUUCUGCAUCAUAAACUCCCGACAAAACGCUCGCGUCGCGUACAGUGAUGGUGCAAGUCAAACAAGUUUCCCCCAAAAUACCACGGACUCGUUGCAUGUUGCUCUCCAGAAAGUGUAACAGCCGUGACAAUACAGAUGAAAGAAAACGGAGCUAGGGCUGUCACGAUUAUAAAAUAAUCGUCUCAUCGCGAUUGUUUGGCCUCAUCGCGAUGGUUUCAGAUCAUCGCAAUUAUUUCACAUCUCUAUAGAAGACACUAGGGGGAGCUGUAGUGCAUCUGCAUAUGACAUAUUUUAGUGUAUUGAUUGUAACUAAAGCAUUGUGAUACUUGUAAAAUGUACCACCACUUCACAAUAAAAACUAAAGCAUAUACCAUAAAAAUAACCUGCAGUACAAUUUAAUAUUAUUUAAGAUAAUCUCAGUGUGAAAACCAGUCUACCAAAAUUUUAUUAACAUAGAAGUAAAAUUUUAUUGUAUCUUGUAAGUGAGAAAAAAACAGACUAGAAGCAAUUCUAUGACUGAUAACAUAUCAAUGGUGGCUUCACUCCUGAUCAAUUUACUUAAUUUACAAGUAUAUGGCAGUUGUAUUAUUGACAGGUAAAAGCCUAAACCUAAAAUAUAUGAUAAACCAAUAUUUUCCGAUGUAUUUCCAAGAAAAAAAAAACAUAUUUUUUAUAUUCAGAACAAUAUGGUCGUUUCAAAGCUGAAUCAAAAAUGUAUGAGAAUUAAAUGUCAAAGCUCUAAAACAGACAAUUAAUCGCCAUAAUCGUCAAAGCCCUAAAAGAAACAAUUAAUGGUCAUAAUCGCAAUGAUUUACUAGACAAUUAAUCGUCAGCCAAAUUUCAUAAUCGUGACAGCCCUAAACGGACCUCAGAAUUAUAAAAGAGCAGCGUGUUCUGCACUCAGAGAGAAGCAAAAAAAUAGCACUUAAUAAAACGGCCUGCUUUUACAACAGAAUGCAUAACAUCUGUCCCGAUUUCUCUUGCAUCCUGAGACAACAUCUACCUCCACUAGACCAGACUUUGUGCUAUUAACCUGGGUCAGUCAUCUCAUUUAAGUCUUAAUAAACUUAAAGCUAAGUAAAUGUUUAUGGUCCAUCUCACAGUAAAAUGAAAAUGUAUGGUGCUGAAAGUCCCUUAAAAUAAUCAAUAUAUUUUAACAAUAAAAAAUAAUACACAGAAAAUGAUGUAUGUGCAACAAUAGCAUGCAUAAUAGUGCCGUGACAAUAUGGGUUGUUUAUAUUUAAAUAGCUCUGUUUUACACAUUUAGUAUCAGGGGUCCAUGCAUCUCUCAUCUAAGGGGUCCUUGCCCCGAAUAAAUGUUGAAGAUCCCUGCUCUGUAACCAAUUGAAUAAGGCUAUUCUGGGUAAGAAAAGCUGAUUUAG